rnacentral:rRNA from 1 species
GACGAACGCUGGCGGCGUGCUUAACACAUGCAAGUCGAACGAGAGCGUAGAGAAAGCUUGCUUUUUCUACAAUCUAGUGGCAAACGGGUGAGUAACGCGUAAACAACCUGCCCUACGGAUGGGGACAACAGCUGGAAACGGCUGCUAAUACCGAAUACGUUCCGAAAGUCGCAUGACUAUCGGAAGAAAGGAUGGCCUCUAUUUAUAAGCUAUCGCCGGAGGAGGGGUUUGCGUCUGAUUAGCUAGUUGGAGGGGUAACGGCCCACCAAGGCGACGAUCAGUAGCCGGUCUGAGAGGAGGAACGGCCACAUUGGAACUGGGACACGGUCCAGACUCCUACGGGAGGCAGCAGUGGGGACUCUUCCGCAAUGGGCGAAAGCCUGACGGAGCAACGCCGCGUGAGUGAAGACGGCCUUCGGGUUGUAAAGCUCUGUUAUACGGGACGAAUAAUCUUGUGGUUAAUACCCAUGAGAAGUGACGGUACCGUAAGAGAAAGCCACGGCUAACUACGUG